rnacentral:rRNA from 1 species
UACAGAGGCCCCAAGCGUUACUGAGAAUCACUGGGUUUAAAGGGUGCGUAGGUGGCGCGUUAAGUCCGUUGUGAAAUCCCUUGGCUCAACCGAGGAAUGGCUUCGGAUACUGGCGUGCUUGAGGCCGGUAAGGGUCACUGGAACUGACGGUGGAGCGGUGAAAUGCGUAGAUAUCGUCAGGAACGCCAAUGGUGAAGACAGGUGACUGGGCCGGUUCUGACACUGAGGCACGAAAGCGUGGGGAGCGAACGGG